GGGGAAUGAAGCCUGGCUGCUGCUUCCUGAAGAUCUCAGCCACUGGAGGGGGUCAGAGCACCUUGCUGCACAGGGAAAGCCCUUGCAGCUCUGACACAGAAGAGCGGCACCGAGCCUUGGUCUGUUCCUGCCCUUUUUCCCACUCCAGUUCCAGGCUGGGUGUUGGAGGCUGGAGUCCCAUGUGCUAUCACACUGGAAACACUGUGUCCUCUGAGCACCACCUCACAAAGCCGCCUGCUGCUGACCAUUACUCCCAUUCCUGAUGAAGUGAAAGGAUGCAGGGAUGAAGU
rnacentral:lncRNA from 1 species